UACGUAGGGUGCGAGCGUUAAUCGGAAUUACUGGGCGUAAAGCGUGCGCAGGCGGCUUGCCAAGUCAGAUGUGAAAGCCCCGGGCUCAACCCGGGAACUGCGUUUGAAACUGGCAGGCUAGAGUUUGGCAGAGGGGGGUGGAAUUCCAGGUGUAGCGGUGAAAUGCGUAGAUAUCUGGAGGAACACCGGUGGCGAAGGCGGCAUCCUGGACCGAUACUGACGCUGAGGAGCGAAAGCCAGGGGAGCAAACGGG
rnacentral:rRNA from 1 species